rnacentral:rRNA from 1 species
AUUGAACGCUGGCGGCAGGCCUAACACAUGCAAGUCGGACGAGCGGCGGACGGGUGAGUAAUGUCUGGGAAUCUGCCUGAUGGAGGGGGAUAACUACUGGAAACGGUAGCUAAUACCGCAUACCAUCGGAUGUACCCAUAUGGGAUUAGCUUGUAGGUGAGGUAACGGCUUACCUAGGCGACGAUCCCUAGCUGGUCUAAGAGGAUGACCAGCCACACUGGAACUGAGACACGGUCCAGACUCCUACGGGAGGCAGCAGUGGGGAAUAUUGCACAAUGGGCGCAAGCCGGAUGCAGCCAGGCCGCGUGUAUGAAGAAGGCCUUCGGGUUGUAAAGUACUUUCAGCCGGGAGGCGUUACCGGCAGAAGAAGCACCGGCUAACUCCGUGCCAGCAGCCGCGGUAAUAC